AAAAUAUAUAAGUUUAAACUAAAAAAGAAGAAAGUGUUACUGGUUAAGACAUCCGUUAAAACCGGAACUCCUACCCAUCACAGCAAGCUCAAAAAUUUUUGCAUAGCCCUCAAACUAGACUACCAGGCUCCCAGCAUAUUUCUUCAUAUAAAGUCAUCAAGCUAUUAUAUAACAAAAUGCGAAUCCAAAUAGACUCACAGCACAUGGGAAUAAGGAGAUAAAUAAAAUAGGAAUCCAGAACAGGAUAGAAAAGAAAUCUGCAUGAACAUAUAUAAUAGAACAUCUGUAGUUGCCACCAACUAUUUAAAACACAAUUCCCAAGGAAAUUAGACAUGACAGCAACCAGAAGUAACGAAACUUAAAAUCCAAUCAGCAGUCAUUCAAAUUCAUUGACUAGAAUGGGCAACUGGUUCUGUUUAACGUUUUAGAAACUGCCAAGGUGAAGUUCUAAACCUUGCCUGCUUUGUUUCACAAAUGUCAAUCCAGCUUCAGCAUCCAACUUUAAACUCUAGCCCUUUUGCCACUGCAACCUGGGCAUUUAUACUGCUUGAUAUGCUCAGCCUUUGCAGGUGUAAUCUUGACACAUUUGCCAUGGAACCAUCUCUCACAUACAUCGCAGCAAAUCCAGAAUUCAUCAGUGCCGUAGCUUUCACCACAUGCACCACAAGUUGCACCCUGUUCAUCAUCUUCAUCUUCCUCUUCUCCACUGCCGUCAUCUUCCUUGGGUGGUUGAGACAUCUUCACUGCCUUGGUCUGAGGUUCAGAUUGCCGAGAUUGCAUUUUCCCACUUGAUUUGCUUUUGCUACUGUUGUUAUGAGUUGCAGAUUGUUCCUUGGGAAGCUUCACAUUUCCUGACACAACUUCAAAUAUUGUUGGGACAUCAUUUAUCAUCUGGAAAAGCCUCUUCCUGUAAAUUAAAUUCCAGCCACUAUCAGAAUGACAUUCUUAUUUUUGCACCGGCUUUCCUUAUUAUUGGUAUAAACAAAAUAUGGUCAAUCCUUCAUAUAGCACUAAAAAAGAAUUAUAGAAGACAGGAAUAUGAGUAGAAGUCUCAUCUUAACAAAAGUGAGUAGAAUUAGAAGAAGACUGAUAUUAGAAUGAGGCAUCUAACACUAGAAAUCAUGUUAGUCAAAAAAGUUAAAACAUGGCCAAUCCAAUUACGGAAUGUUGACCUCCCCCAUUGAAGACAAGUUCAAUGAAAUCUCCUGGUUAAGCAAAACUAAUUAUGCAGUCAAUAACCACAUUUACAUGAGAUUCAAUUGAGAUGCACCAAAUAAAUACCAUUUGCCAAAUGGUUAGCUAGGGAGACAAUGGUCUUGACUAAAACACCAUCUCAAUGGCCAUGUCUUCCUAGUGCUUGUUUGUGCAUACACAAGUUGCAGGGUAUGCUGUUCAGAUUGUCGUGAACAGUCUUAAUGCCCAAGUUGCAGGGUAUGUCUCAUUCAGAUUUUCAUGAACAGCCUCAACACCUUAGUACUUGGAUAAGUUUCACUUGCUGUCACUGGACUCAUUAUUAAUACACAUAAUUGUCAUUAAAAUUCAAUUUUUUCACUUACAAAUAAUUAAUUUUCUAACAAAGUCAUUCCAAAACACCUUGUAUCCAAUAUCGAUAUGAAUUUUUGAAAUGAAUGACCUUUUUUUUUUAUUUUAUAGUUCUAGUGGGUCAGCAACAUCAUUUUUAUAUUCUCUAUUCCAACCCCCUCUUUGCUCUUUCUAUUUCUCUAUCCUCACUUUUAUUUCUAAGCUAGCUUACACAUCAAAUUACGCCAUUCUAUUUUCAUCAUCUUAUAAUUACUAGCAAACCACCAAAAAAUUUUAAAUUUAUUCAACCUGCUAAUUUUUUUGACAACCAAACAUAAGUGGGUAAAAGGAAAUUUACCCAAAAAAAAAUAAAUAAUAUGUUUAACUCAUGAAAACUAUAAAAUAAAUAAAUAAAUAAAUCCAGCUGUAUGCCAAGUCAACAUUAUGGCAAGAAUUUGCUUGAAAUUACAUUUUAAUGAUUUUAUUGCUAUGCAAAUUAAAGUUAAAUUAUUUAUUAGCGACAAAUUGAAGUUCAAAACAAGUAUAUCAGUUGCAAGUUCAAUGCCAAUGAGUAAAAUUUACCCCAAUACUUGUAUGGAAGUGCAAGGACUCUUGAUAGCUAACUUAACAGUUUGAAGGGGAAAAAAAGAUCAUUCUUUUAUUCAGAUAGCAUGCCUAGUGCAGAUUUUAAUUCAGCUAAAAGAAAGACGUAGCUUUCACCUAGGUUAAAUAAAUGCUCCCUAAAAUCCCAAAAACUUUCCAAACACCACUGUUUGGAUAAGGAAGCUAGAAGAUAAUAAAAAUAAUAGUAACAACAACACAUAUAUUUUACAAAAUAUAUACUUGGAAAAUGAAAGAAGACAACCAAUUACACUGGGAAAAAGGAGUUUAAGCUGUGUAGAAGCAACCUUCACAAAAAAGAAUAAGAAAAAAAAAAUCUGUAAAGGUUGCAACUUGCAAUCAAGAAAGCCUUUAACAAGUUUUGAACAGCCAAAACAUGAAUCGUUAUUUAUGAAAAUUAUCCUUACAAAGCAUAAUAUAUAAAGAUUCUUUUCAUGUUCCCAUCCAAAUUAUCAACUUCCAAAUAAAAGCUCUCUAGUCUCUACAAGACAGAGAAUACUGAAUCAUAUUUAUUUAUAUAAAAAAGAAAAGAGAAGAACUUUUAUAGGUAAAGAAAGAGAUAACGUAGAGAAUAAAGUACCCUCAUAUGAAACUCAAGACACAACUACAAACAAGAACAUAAAGAAUAAACUAAAAAGUGCCACCCUCUAAUCUAAUCAAGUUGAAUAACUCCUGAAUCCAGAAGCAUAAGCCCAAAUAGAAGCAAUAUUGAAUUAUAUUACAAAAUCACUACAAUAAUAUAUUCAAAGCUAAUGAAUAUUAUUCAUAUAAAUCUACAAUACAAAGAGACACAUUCAAAGCUACCAAAAAGGGAAAAUCAUUUAGAAGAGAUAAAUGACUGACAAGGUUAUUGUUAAAAGCCCAUAACACAAGGAUAAAAUAAAAAAAUAAAUAAAAAAUCUGAGGCCACCAACAGUUAGAUGCACAAAGUCAACUAUCAACACACAGCUGCACAGAUACAAUAUAUGCAUUUAUGUGUCCAAUUAUCUAUAGUUUCUUCCUUGUAAUUAAUGUAGUAUUCAGGCAAUUGUGAUUCAUACUUCUCAAACUAUUUGACAGUUAUUAAGUAAUCUUUUAGUUUCUAAUAAAAACAUAUCACUACACCGUCAGUAGCAAAGCAAAUCAAAGUAUAAUUGUGUACUUUACUUAAAUCAAUAGAAAAGGUUUGUUAAAGGAAAAAUCAAGACGACAUAAUGGUUGAUUGCUUAUUAUGAUGAAGAAAAUUUGCAGCAAUCUCGAACAAAAGAACUCUAAGCCCUUACAUUUCCAGUUAAUGAAUCAAAAAGAAUCAUGGGAAAUGCUUGCACUUAGGAGAGAAGCCUAUCACGGACCAAGUUCAAAGAAGACUCAUUGAGACAAUAGCAGAACUUUGAAGGCUUAAAGAGGCAAAGGAUGGCAGAGCAUACAGUAGCUCACAACCAUAGCAGAAAAUAUGAAUCAGCCUUUUUCUGUUAUGCCUUUACACUAUUGAAUGCAGGUGCUUCCCCAGUCAAAUUCCUUAUAGACCAAUUGUCAACACCUCCUGUCAUAUGGUCUCCAGUCCCCAACAAUGAUUAUUGACAGAGAACAACUAUUUUCUUUCAUAUCUUCAUGCUAUUUCAUGACAGUUCUUCCCCAGUUAAAUGUCUUAGAACAAUUGUGAAUCGGCCUCCUAAUGUAAGGUUCCCAACAACUGAUUAUUGAACAUUAUCUCCUCAUAAAAGGAGGAAAUAAAUGAAAAUCCUAUUCUUCUUCUCUUGAUAUAACAUAUUACAAUGAAUUAAGUUUUGACACCAUAUCUUCAACAUCACCGAAAUAUAGAGCCAUUGCAUCGUAUAACAUAGCAUUUUAGUUGGCAAAAUUAUUAACUGAAUUUAACCCCACAAUGAGAGCAAGUUCACCCAAAAUCUAAGAUUAUACAUUCAAAACUCAAGAAACUAGUCUAAGAACUAUAAAAGUAGAGAGAGGAGAAUAAAAAGGACACAAGAGUGAUUUGCAAUAAAUUAUGGCAAGACCAGGAGAUCAUAGCAGCAGGGAACAAUGUGGAAAACAGCAACUUAUAUGUUAUACUUGAUAAGAAUAAUUACCCAUACCUUUCAUUCUUACCAAACCCAAA
rnacentral:misc_RNA from 1 species